UACAGAGGUCUCAAGCGUUGUUUCGGAUUCAUUGGGCGUAAAGGGUGCGUAGGCGGCGCGGUAAGUCGGGUGUGAAAUUUCGGAGCUUAACUCCGAAACUGCAUUCGAUACUGCCGUGCUUGAGGACUGGAGAGGAGACUGGAAUUUACGGUGUAGCAGUGAAAUGCGUAGAGAUCGUAAGGAAGACCAGUGGCGAAGGCGGGUCUCUGGACAGUUCCUGACACUGAGGCACGAAGGCCAGGGGAGCAAACGGG
rnacentral:rRNA from 1 species